rnacentral:rRNA from 1 species
ACUCCUACGGGAGGCAGCAGUGGGGAAUAUUGCGCAAUGGGCGAAAGCCUGACGCAGCGACGCCGCGUGCAGGAUGACGGCCUUCGGGUCGUAAACUGCUUUGGAGCGGGACGAGGAAGGACGGUACCGCUCGAACAAGUCACGGCUAACUACGUGCCAGCAGCCGCGGUAAU